UUGUGGAAAAGCAGCAAAGGGUUCACUGAUGCAUUGGUUCUGGACCAUGUUUGUUCAGGAGAAACGUGUUCUUAUCAUCAAAUUGGCGAUGUCUUCGUUUGUGAGAAGACUGGAAAUGUUCAUGUCUGUGAUGAGACGUGCAGAGAAACUGUUAUGGAUCCUGCCAAUGAGCUCUUGGUUUGCAAAAUAUCUGGACACUGUUUAAAUAGGUUGCUGUCAGCUGCUGAAAUGGAGACUGAUGCCGAGCAGCAGCAAGGUGGUGUGACAGAUGAAGCUGAACCAUUCAUGGGACCUGGUCGAUUUGCACGAGCUUAUGUCUUGGGAUAUAAUUGUGCCAACGAAAGAGAAUUAGAUGCUGUGUUGAGGUUCUGCUGAGUUUUGGGGAUGGAAUGUAUAUGCCUUGAUCCUCCUCUCAAGCGGAUUCCACUAAGGAAAUGGCAAUGUCCUAAGUGCCGCUCGAAAAGUGAUUCAGUUGAGCCAAUAAGCCAUCUCGAUUCCAGUUUGAAGCGAGCUCGGACGAAAAUUUGUGGGUCAAGAUCCAAGACUUUGUCUAGCACGGAAAAAGUAUCUCGAAUGCUUGGUGGCUCCCAUUUUCCAAGCAAGAGGUCUUUGAGUGGAGGGAAUUCUGUUGUAACACCUGAAGUUCAGCCAUUGGAAGGUAAACCAGAUCUGUCCCAGGAGAGGACCCAUGCACCAUCAAGCCUAAUUGCCCAUCCCUGGGUGGUUCUACGGAUGGAACCUCUUCCUCUCAGAAAAAUGAUGAUGAACAGAAGGUAGAUGUACCUCCAGCAAAAGCACCUUCAACCAGAAGGUUAGCUUCUCCUUCUGUGCCCGCUUCAUCUCAUUCUCAACUGGUGAGUUCAGAACAAUAUGAUGAAGCAUCAAAGAAAAAUUCUCAAUGUUAUGAUGGAUUCAAUAGUCGAGAUGGUCAAGCUGCUCUCGGAACUGGUGCUAGUAAAGAGAGCUAAGAAGAGAAAGCUUGUGCAGAAAAAUGACAUUCAGAAGAAACGCAUGACUCGACGAUGGAAAGCAAAUUAUUGCUACUUCUAAGAGCAGGAAUGAUGAUGGCAAGCAAAUUAUUGCUACUUUUAAGAGACAUGGGUCGAAGAAGAAAGCUGCAUUACCUGAAAUAGGUAAUUCACAAUUAAGAAAGAGAACAAUUGUAAACAAGGGUUCACGGUCUGCCAUGGAAGAAAUGGAGCAAAAGAAGGUUCAAAUGGUCCAAAUAAACAAAAGGUUUCUGGAGAGUUGAAAAGCCCACCAGUAAAGCCAAAGAAAAGAGACCGUCAUGUGAAUAAUACACCAAUGUGCAUAAGCAGUACCGC